rnacentral:rRNA from 1 species
GUGGGGAAUCUUAGACAAUGGGCGCAAGCCUGAUCUAGCCAUGCCGCGUGAGCGAUGAAGGCCUUAGGGUUGUAAAGCUCUUUCAGUGGGGAAGAUAAUGACUGUACCCACAGAAGAAGCCCCGGCUAACUCCGUGCCAGCAGCCGCGGUAAUACGGAGGGGGCUAGCGUUGUUCGGAAUUACUGGGCGUAAAGCGCACGUAGGCGGACUGGAAAGUCAGGGGUGAAAUCCCGGGGCUCAACCCCGGAACUGCCUUUGAAACUCCCAGUCUUGAGGUCGAGAGAGGUGAGUGGAAUUCCGAGUGUAGAGGUGAAAUUCGUAGAUAUUCGGAGGAACACCAGUGGCGAAGGCGGCUCACUGGCUCGAUACUGACGCUGAGGUGCGAAAGCGUGGGGAGCAAACAGGAUUAGAUACCCGAGUAGUCC